ACACUCCUGCGGGAGGCAGCAGUGGGGAAUAUUGGACAAUGGGCGCAAGCCUGAUCCAGCCAUGCCGCGUGAGUGAUGAAGGCCCUAGGGUUGUAAAGCUCUUUCACCGGUGAAGAUAAUGACGGUAACCGGAGAAGAAGCCCCGGCUAACUUCGUGCCAGCAGCCGCGGUAAUACGAAGGGGGCUAGCGUUGUUCGGAUUUACUGGGCGUAAAGCGCACGUAGGCGGACUAUUAAGUCAGGGGUGAAAUCCCGGGGCUCAACCCCGGAACUGCCUUUGACACUGGUAGUCUUGAGUUCGAGAGAGGUGAGUGGAAUUCCGAGUGUAGAGGUGAAAUUCGUAGAUAUUCGGAGGAACACCAGUGGCGAAGGCGGCUCACUGGCUCGAUACUGACGCUGAGGUGCGAAAGCGUGGGGAGCAAACAGGAUUAGAAACCCCGGUAGUCCC
rnacentral:rRNA from 1 species